CCUACGGGUGGCUGCAGUGGGGAAUAUUGCACAAUGGGCGCAAGCCUGAUGCAGCGACGCCGCGUGGGGGAUGACGGCCUUCGGGUUGUAAACCCCUUUCAGUAGGGACGCGGUACCUACAGAAGAAGGACCGGCCAACUACGUGCCAGCAGCCGCGGUAAUACGUAGGGUCCGAGCGUUGUCCGGAAUUACUGGGCGUAAAGAGCUCGUAGGUGGUUUGUCGCGUUGUCCGUGAAAACUCACAGCUCAACUGUGGGCGUGCGGGCGAUACGGGCAGACUGGAGUACUGCAGGGGAGACUGGAAUUCCUGGUGUAGCGGUGGAAUGUGCAGAUAUCAGGAGGAACACCGGUGGCGAAGGCGGGUCUCUGGGCAGUACUGACGCUGAGGAGCGAAAGCGUGGGGAGCGAACAGGAUUAGAUACCCUUGUAGUC
rnacentral:rRNA from 1 species